CUUUAAAUAAACGAAUAUCAAUUCAAUAAAUGCUAAUGUUCAUCAUUUAUCAAUUCAUGUUAAAAUUUUGUUUCAUUUAAUAAAUUAUUUCUCUCGUGGAUUUUAAAUGUCGAAGAAGAGAAAUGUUUCUCUUUUCAUAUAUUUACUGUUACAGAUUAAUAUUUACUCUAACUCUAGUGAUAUGUUUUGGGCUGGGGCAAGCAAGUGACUUCUGCACCUUUGAUGAUGAGGUAAAAUACUGUGAAUAUGGAUGUUGUUCUCAGAAAUGCUGCGCUAUGUCAACACUGGCAAUUGUUGGCCUUGUAAUAGGUGCUGUAUUGGGAGUGGCGUCCGUGGUCGGUUGUAUCGUCUGCCUUGUAUGUAUGUGUAAACAGGUCGAAUGCCAACCGGAAUGCUAGCAUGGUGCAUCCAAUACAUAAUAAUACAAACUCCGUCUAUGUCUCAAAUGUUCCAAACCACCCACCACCUAGAGCAGUCCCACCCAAUUACAACCAGUACAGCUCGUACCCGGGAAGUUCCGACACAUCGUAUGGAUUCAACGAUCCUGCCUACCCUCCCGGCUACCACCCUCCGCCGGCAUACACCUACUCGAAUCCGAAGUCGGACAAAUUCUAGUGUUGUAAAUGCUUAGUAUACUAUAGACGAACUGCAUGUGAUCAUUAGCGUACACAUUCUUUACUAAAACACUCUCAUGACAUUUUAUACACAUAUCCGAACCAUGUGUUUUUAUCAAACAAGAUUUCUUUUAUAAAUAGAAACGCCAUUUCAAAUUAGGCAACUUUUCAGUAUAACAAAAACGCGAUUGCAAAUUAUAACAUAAAUGUUGACACUCAAGACCAGUCCAACUUUAGGACUAUCUUAGGACCGUUUCAAUAAACAUUAUUAGUUUAAAACACAGACAUUAGACAUUAAGAACAAAUAAUAGAUACAAAAGCACGCACUUCAAUUCAUAUUCUUCUAUUUUAUACAAUAAAAAGUGUGUUGUUAUUUAUAAAACAAUAAAGAUAUAGGUAAUUGUUAAUAAAUACGAAAAUUAUGUAACUGCACGUUUUAUAUUAUGCUUAUUCUAAUUAGAAUUGAGGAAAAAGUAUUUUGUUCAGUAAAAAUAUCACAUAUAUACACAUGUAUAUGCUUAGAAAAUGAUACUACAAUUUAAAUGAAUGGAAGGAUUCAUUAGUGAGAAAAGAAGUAAGUUUUUUUUAUUCACAGACGCUAACUCGAGUUAUAGUUUAAGAUAACAUACAUGCUUCGUAAUAAUUUAAGGAUGCAAUAUUGACUAAAAUAUGAUAUUAAUAUUGUUAUGUUGUUGAAAUUUUGUUGUUUAUGAAUAAAUUACAUUUUAGUUACAAA